CCUACGGGAGGCAGCAGUGAGGAAUAUUGGUCAAUGGGCGAGAGCCUGAACCAGCCAAGUCGCGUGAGGGAGUACUGCCCUAUGGGUUGUAAACCUCUUUUGUCGGGGAGCAAAAGCCGGACGUGUCCGGCUGUGAGAGUACCCGAAGAAAAAGCAUCGGCUAACUCCGUGCCAGCAGCCGCGGUAAUACGGAGGAUGCGAGCGUUAUCCGGAUUUAUUGGGUUUAAAGGGUGCGCAGGCGGAUUUUUAAAUCAGCGGUAAAAUCGUGGGGCUCAACCCCAUCCAGCCGUUGAAACUGGGGAUCUAGAGUGUGCGAGAGGUAUGCGGAAUGCGUGGUGUAGCGGUGAAAUGCAUAGAUAUCACGCAGAACCCCGAUUGCGAAGGCAGCAUACCGGUGCACAACUGACGCUCAGGCACGAAAGCGUGGGUAUCGAACAGGAUUAGAUACCCGUGUAGUC
rnacentral:rRNA from 1 species